rnacentral:lncRNA from 1 species
UGCUUAAUUGUGGUAAAUGUCGAAUGAGCGUCUCUGGAAAGAUGUAUGUCAAGUUAUUGCAACAGUGAACCCUUAUUUCUCUAAGAUUGGUUGCAACCUGGAUGGGACCCUUCCAUAUAUCUCGCAACCUAAUCACAUUAAACAGCUCCAUUAUCUCUAGACUUGAGAUGAUAUUUCCACCCUGAAGCUGAAACAAUUGUUCAAAGUUCCCCAAAGUUAUAUAUUCGAAAUCUGGUGAUAUUUGU